rfam:Triticum aestivum genome assembly, contig: Triticum_aestivum_CS42_TGACv1_scaffold_224958_3B
CUCAUACUCCCUCCGUCCGAAAAUACUUGUCAUCAAAAUGGAUAAAAAAAUAUAUGUAUAACUAAAAUACGUCUAGAUACACUCUCUUUUAUCCAUUUUAAUGACAGGUAUUUCCGGACGAAGGGAGUACAAA